UACAGAGGUCCAAGCGUUGUUCGGAUUCACUGGCGUAAGGGUGCGAUAGGUGGUGAGGUAAGUCGGAUGUGAAUCUCCGAGCUACAACUCGGAACUGCAAUUGGAAACUACCUUGCUCGAGGUUGGAGGGGGGGAUCGUGGAAGUGCUUGGUGUAGCAGUGAAAUACGUAGAGAUCAUGAGAAGACAGUGGCGAAGGCGGGUCUCGUGGACAGUUCCUGACACUGAGGCACGAAGGCCAGGGGGGAGCAAACGGG
rnacentral:rRNA from 1 species